UUUUACAUGGUUAUUGUUGUGUUUAUAACUCUUGUAAGUGGUAACAUGCCUACCCAGGUGAAAGAUUUGGAUGUGGAACUUGAAAGUACUAAGUAGAAAAGUAAACAAAACCUGCAACAAGCCAUCUUAAUUGAAAGGGAAAGAGUUACUCAAAUGCAGUGGGAUAUGGAAGAACUUCGUAGGAAGUAUUUGGAGAUGGAGUUGAAGCUCAAGUUCGAAUAGGAUGAAAAGAUUUGUUCGGAGUUGGCAAAAGUGUCCACUAUUCAUGAGAAGGAGCUGUUGCUGCCAGAAUUGGAUGUUGCAAAAGAACAACUUAAGAACCUGCAUAAACAUCAAGAAGAGCUGGAAAUGAAAUAAAAAAAGGAUAUUAAACUUCUUGUCAAAGAAGUUAAUCAUGCUAGAUUGGAAAGUUUUAGGAGAGGCUUGAGCAAAGUGAAGUAUUGUUUAUUUAAAAAUGUGAAUGUAGGAUGCAUUGUAUGAUUUGAUUGCUAUUUGUAAUAAAUGCAUCAUUUUUUUCCUGAUUGCA